rnacentral:rRNA from 1 species
UGGGGAAUAUUGGACAAUGGGGGGAACCCUGAUCCAGCCAUGCCGCGUGUGUGAAGAAGGCCUUAUGGUUGUAAAGCACUUUAAGCGAGGAGGAGGGUACUGGUAUUAAUACUACCAGCUACUGGACGUUACUCGCAGAAUAAGCACCGGCUAACUCUGUGCCAGCAGCCGCGGUAAUACAGAGGGUGCGAGCGUUAAUCGGAUUUACUGGGCGUAAAGCGUGCGUAGGCGGCUAAUUGAGUCGGAUGUGAAAUCCCCGAGCUUAACUUGGGAAUUGCAUUCGAUACUGGUUAGCUAGAGUGUGGGAGAGAAUGGUAGAAUUCCAGGUGUAGCGGUGAAAUGCGUAGAGAUCUGGAGGAAUACCGAUGGCGAAGGCAGCCAUCUGGCCUAACACUGACGCUGAGGUACGAAAGCAUGGGGAGCAAACAGG